GCCAGGUGUGGUGGUGCACACCUGUAAUCCCAGCUACUUGGGAGGCUGAGGCACAAGAAUCGCUUGAACCUGGGAGGCUGAGGUUACAGUGAGCCGAGAUCACACCACUGCACUCCAGCCUGGGUGACAAAGCAAGACUCUGUCUCAA
ensembl:misc_RNA Metazoa_SRP Metazoan signal recognition particle RNA